CUAGUACCAUCCAGUGUAUAACAAGUGUGGUCUAUGAAUUGUUAUGAUUGUGGAUUGGGGCUCAUACUUAAGGGACCUUGUGUGCAGCCCUGCACCUGCAGGGAGACAGGAUCCACUCCUUCCUUCCUUUUCUCUUGUCUCACAUUUCAGCAGAUUCACAGAGAGGCUGAGACAGGCCUCAAGGAGACUUGAGCGAGAGGGGGAAGUGGCAGAUUUGGAGGAUCCCUAGGGAUGUGUGUAAAUAACAUGUAUUCCUGUAGGUCAGGAAUCAUGUGUGAUUCUUCUAUUCAUACUCAGAAUUAUUUUCAAAAUAAAAUAUAACCCAACACGAAAACAGGAAGCAGGAAGGAUUUGGUGGUCUUUUCUUUUUCUCCUUCAUAAAUACUCUUAGAUGCGAGAGGGAGAUGAGAGUCUCCGAAACCUCUCCUGCGGGUUCAACCUCUUCCGAACCCUGCGAGACGAGAGAGGGUCAGGAGCGCAUGUGGUCCCCAAGCCCAGUAGCCGGAGCCGGAAUCUGAGAACAUCUACGCUCUGGCUCAGGGCUUAUUUGACUUGCUAAUUAGGAGGCGGCUACAACUUUUGAGACGACUGGUACGGCGCCCUAACGCACACGGAAAAGGAAGCAUCGCGAGACCUUCCCGCAUUUUCGCGGGAGAGUUCUCUGUGUCGGCGCCCGACGGCUGUUUUGGCCUGAAGUAAAGGUUUACUGCGUGCCUGCUGAGAGGUUGGGGAAGACCCCUGGAGUUCUUGCGAGCUGAUGUUCCACACAGGAAACUGGAGUGUCGGCCUCCAUUACAGAGACGGGAGUGAGUGCAGAACCAACUUCUGUGAAAUGUGUUUUAAUAUGUACGGUAUUGUAAUAUUUAACAAGAACUAAUCAUAUACAUAGACACUGUUGAACACUAUAUAGAAGUAGAUAAUGAGUUUCGGUAGUAGAAGUUACAGCUGUAUGACAGGUCAUUUAGUAGUGUGUAGGAUGGAAUGGACGGAACACAGGUUUUGGAGCCCCUUAGGCUACUUUUGAAUGCAGUUUCUCUCACUACUGUGUGACCUCUGCCUUCUCUGUGUCUUACGCAUGGUAGGGAUGAUGAAGAUAAUAGAUAUCCUAACAGGGUCGUUUUGAAUAUCAAAUGAAAUAGCAUUUAUAAAGCAGAAUACAUGAAAUUGCUGCUCACUGCCCACCCCACAGGCUCAAGCAGGGGAACCCACAUAAGACGUUUUGAAAGGCUUUCAUCUGGGUGUCGUCCUUGAGAGGUUUAGAGUCUAUGAGUUCAAGAAUACACCAGAUGAAGCAUAAGGUUAACAAUUUAAUCCUUAACAGGUCUGAAAAAACUUAAGUACAUGGAAUUCAGAUGACACAGGAGAUCAGAUUUGGGUGAACUUAAUUAAGUAAGCCCAAGAUGGGGCUUUUGAAGGACACGAUUGAUUAAAAUCACUUACGACAAAAGUAGAGCGAGCUAUUUUGGAUUCAUUCCAGUAUCAAGUAUAUGUAAGCAAGAUCUAAAAGUUACUUGAUUUUUUUUUCUUAAUGUUGGGCUCAGUGUCAUAAUUGAACAAAGACUUCAGUUGUUGGAGUUUUGAGAUUAAUAUGUAAUCAGCAGUGACCUUUAUACUCACAAACUUGUAUUAAGCACUGACUAUACCAGACAGUACUCUAAGUUCCUGGGAACACAUAGAGACAAAUAUGGCAGUUUCAGUCCCCAAAGGCUGUACAAAAUUUAAAAGCUCAAAGAAUAAGUUUGAGUCAUUGAGUUAAAGGAUUUCAGUUUUGGACAUAUGACUCAGAAUACUUAAAAUUCAAGGUUAUGGGAUUGCUCAUAAUGGAAAGUGUAAAAUACGUGCUGAACCACAGGCAGACAUUGAAAAUGAUUACACAUGGCAAAGCUAAAUUAGUCAUGUUUGUCAGCAGCUGCCCUGCCUUAAGGUAAAUCACUUUUCCUCAUAGACUAAUUACAAAUAUCUAACAUGAGGACUAUCUUAGUUAUCUAGUGCUGCUGUAACAAAUACCACAAGUGGAUGGCUUUAACGAAUGGGAAUUUAUUCUCUUAGAGUUUAGGAAGCUAGAAGUCUGAAUUCAGGUCGCCAGAUUCAGGGCAAGGCUUUCUCUCUCUGUCAGCUCUGGGGGAAGUCCUGGUCGUCAGUCUUCCCCUGUCUAGGAGCCUCUCAUCACAGGAACCCCAUGCCGAAAGGACUCACUGUGCUCCUGGGUCUUCUUUUGUGGUGGUACUGAGGUCCCUUUCCUCUCUGCUCACCCCUCUCAUAUUUCAAAAGAAGUUGACUCAAGAUACAACCUAGUCCUGUAGAUUGUGUCCUGCCCAUUAACAUAAUGGACAGCUCACUCCAAAACAGGAUCAGAACCAAUGGCAUAGCGGCUAGGAUUUAACACAUAGGGCAUUUACAUCAGAUCACAAAAUGGAGGACCACCACACAGUACUGGGAAUCGUGGCCUAGCCACAUUGACACAUAUUUUGGGGGGACACAAUUCAAUCCAUGACAAGGACUGUCAUAACCAGAUUAAAAUGCACUUUGUAACUAACAACUAGCAUCAGUAUUUCCAGGGUAAAAUUUGAUGUUUUUCCUUGAGUUUUUUUGUUUGUUUAAAUUGAUUUGUAACUUCUUAAGCCUCCAUGAUUUUUAGCAAAUGUAUUCUAUGCUAGAACUGUAAGAUUAAAAAGAGGAAAAACCAAAAGAACCAGGAUAUAAGAAAAUUAAAUGGUAAAGUUUAUAAAACUUUGCUAGACAUUACAUAGCUGUAAGGAAACACUCCAAAGUAUCUGCUCUGUACUAGAUAUUACAUACCCUUCACUGACAGGUCAGGGACUAUGUCUGUCUUGUUGUGUUCAUGGUUAGCUUGCAAGCACACAACAUAGUGCCUUGCCUGUGGCAGGUCUUAAUAAAUGAUAAUUGUUGUUAAUGCUAAAUAAAGAAAUUUUAGUGAAUAAAAAACUAUGAGGUAGGAAUUAAUAUUGUCAGAGAGGUGAUUUGUCCAAGAUUUUAUUGCUCCAGUCAAGAUCCCUUCUGACUUUAGAAGAAUCCAUGUAAUAUCUUAGGCCAUUCAUGCCAAACACAGCAAGUAGAAACAGAAUCAAGUGGCUUGGUUGAGUCUCAUGGAGAAAGGGUACAACGUAGAGAACUCCGAGAAGACUUUGAGUUGCAGAAGAAUUUGGUGAAAGAUAAUGUGGAAGAAAUCUGAGAUAACCUAUUUCCUGAUUAUUCCCAAUCCUUUCAGCUACAUGUCCUUGCACACAGUCUUCCAAAGUGAUGUGGAGAGUGGAGACCUCCCCGGAGAGGCCUUCUUUCAGUGUGGCUAGUCUAGGUCUAUCCUCAGUCACCUGGCCCGUCCUCACAGUGCAGCCCUGGGACAGGGCAGGAUUGCUAGCUGGAGCAUUUCCCUUUUUAAUUGUUACACCUGUGGACUCUUUAGCUAAGAACUGUGGAAGGCACUUUCUUGCCCUGUACUUGGAUUCUUUACAGGCAUCAAGGAGAAGGUGUCCUUUUUCUUACCUCUCUUUAUUUUACUGUUUUCCCUCUCUGAAGCCUCCCUAGAGUCUCCUGUAUGUGCAUUAAACAUUGAUGUAUUCUCAGAUGAUAAAGUAUGUCCCGAAGAAGGUCACCUAUUGGUGGAGUUCAGGUGUUAUGUCCAAAAGGUGAUUUGUGUGCUCUGAAAACACUCACAGAUAUUAUCCUAGCUGAGUCUCAUAACAACCCUGUAAGCUGAAUACACAGAACAAGUAUUACUCCCCUUUAAUAGGAGACUGAGAGUCUGAUCAUGUAAUUGAUUUGCCUAGCACAGAAAAAUUUUUAAGUGGCAAAAGCUGUAUCUACAUACCUAUGCGCAGUACACCCCUUUUGGAUACUCACAAGGCUUAGAGCAGAGUCAAGGCUCUGUGAAGUCCUCCAGUAAAGGAACAUGUUUAGCUUUCUCAAAGCUAGUGUUUUUGAAGUGCACUUAGCAACGGAAUCUUUACUUAGAGUAACCUUCCUUAAUGAUCUGUGUGAUACUAGAACAUGUUUUGAGAAAUGCUGGUAUAAACUGCUCCAUCAGAAUGAAGUUAAAGAAAAAAAUUUUCUCUUUAGGAAGUUCUAUGACCUGCCCCCACAAAAUCAUCUCACUGUCGGGCAAACAAAUUUUUGCUGCAUCUCAGCUGUAUCCUUUAUGGUAUAUUUUAAACACAUUUUCUGCUGUUCUGUCGUUGGUAGAGAGGAAGAAUAGCUGGUUGCCAUUUUCUAUGAAAAGAAAUUGCUACAUCUAGAGACCUUUAUUAUGCCAUUCAUCUGCACAGUCUUGGCUCUAGCAGAAUAAGUCCUGAGAGCAGAUAGUUUUCUUGACAGGUGAGAAGCAUCUUUAGAUCAUAUCUGUGUUCGGAAGGAUAAUUCUCUCAGAGGUAGGGUGAAUGGAAUGGAAGUGGGAAAAACCAAGCUCCUAAAGGCAACUAUUGGGUCUUACUCUAUCUUUAUCUUCCAUACUCAACAUAUUGUUUGGGACCAGUGAGUGCUCAGUUCAUGUUGGACUAAAUUGCAGUGUUUCAUUCUAUUGUACAUAGGGGUCACUGUGAGUCAGAACCGACUCGACAGCACCUAACAACAACAAAUUAAAUAUCUAAUAUUUUGUCUUAUGUUGUCUACUUUGCUUUACUUGUCCAAAUGCAUUGUCCUACACAUACAUAUUACUAACAAAUUUAUUGUGUUUGUCUCUAAAUACUUUGCCAGGUUUUAAGAUGGUUUUCCAUUUCGAUCAUAUAGCUAUGUAUGUGACUGCUGACUGACUCAUCGUACUGCUCAGACCUCUGGCUUCUGCCCGUGAGAGAUACAGAAGGCCCACAACGCAGGUAGAUGAUCAAGGGUACUAUUGGGCAAUUCCCCCCGAUUCAUUUACCUUGUUGAAGUACCCAGAGCUUACUUAGAAAGAGCAUAUUGUUAACAGAUAUUCACUUAAAGGAUAUGUAAGUGACUUAUAAAAGGUGAAAAGAUGCUCACUUUCACUCCUAAUAAGAAAAAAAAAAAUACUGAGAUACUAUUUUUUACCUGUCAGACUGACCAAAUGAACACUGGGUUGGUGAAACUGUGAAGAAACAGACAUUACUUAAGGAAAAUGAAUUGAUAUAAUUUCUGUGGAGCACAGUUUGGCAAUAUCUAUAAAAUUACAAAAGCACGUUCCCUUUGACCCUGCCUUCUAGGGUUUUUAUUCAACCAAUCUCCUUGUGCAUGUGCAGAAUGACCUAUAGGAAGUUAUUCGGGUUUUUAUUCAACCAAUCUCCUUGUGCAUGUGCAGAAUGACCUAUAGGAAGUUAUUCGCUGCUGUGGUGUUUUAAUGGCAUGAACACCCUAAAGACCACCAGUACAAGGUUGAUAAAAGAAACGGCAUAUCCAUAUAAUGGAAGGCUACAGCUCUAAAAAAAGGAGGAAGGGGGCGCUUUAUGUGCUGAUAUGAAAAAAUCUUUGAUGAUUAUAUGCAUUGUACAGAACAGUGGUAUGUUAUCUUUUUAUAAAAAAGGGGAAAAUAAAAAAUUUGUAUAUAUUAGUUUAUGUAUGAAGAAGUCCUGGAAGGAUAUAGACAAAAUUAAUAACAGUGGUUGGGUUGUUCAGGGGUUUUGUUCUGUUUCUGUUUCUGUUUUUUGAAGAGGUGGUAACUAAACUGUUGAGUGAGAGACUUCGCUUUAUGCUUUUUACAUUUGAACAUUGUGAAUGUAUUACAUAAAGAAAUAAACUGAAUUUUAAAAUAAGGAGCAUGUGAGUUUGAUGAACAUGAAUUUCAUGGAUCAAAUAUCUUAGGAAUUAAAAUGCAGUAUUCAGUAGUUAUCAACAUAUUCCCUUUAGUUGUCUGUAAUCGCGUGGAGUUGUAUUUAUAUGCCCUAAACACAAAUUCUUUUGAGAGAGGUUUUGUUCUUUGUUGUUUUUGUUUUAAACCACUAUGCUUUGAGGAAGAAAGGUUAAAAGAAUUUUUAAAACAGCAUGUUCCACCAAGCAGGCCGUAUUUACUCAUGAAGCUAAUUUAAUUACUAAAUCUUGUUAAGCAGUAUCUUAAAAAAUUAUGAACAUUUAUGAGGGUUAAAAAGCCUUAAUGUCUAGGAUUCCUUCUCUACAUCAUUAUAAGGGAAGAUGGAAUCCACAAGUUUCCAGGUUACUGCUGGUAAGAAGUGGCAUUUUAGUAAAGAGAUGAGUACAGAGAUGCCCAGAAUUUUCCAGUUCCUGGCACCUUUAAUCCCUUUUUUUUUCCCCACAGUGUCCCUAGGCCAAUAAAUAAAUAACAAUUCCAUUUAUUAAGUAGGUAGUUCCAGGUAUUUAUGUUCUAACAACCUCUAGCCAUUUGAAAAAAUACGUGAAUUGAAAACAGUAUUUUUUAUUUCAUACUUAAAUGACCACAGUUACCAAGUAAAGGGAUGUGUGUGUCUGUUGGGCAUUGUACAACUUCUCUAACCUUGGCAUCAGACUGGACACCGCUACCCCCACUCUUUGUGUUCCAUAUUGAUGUUCAUGGUGUACGUUUUAAUCACAGCAACUGCCAAAAACCCAGCUUUCCAAAGAUGUGGCAUCAUUAAAAGGAAUGUAGCACUAUCCAAUGCUGAAACUGAACUACCCAGAGCUAGUUCCUGGCGGAUGUUACUAUGUUUCUCUUAAAACAUUAAAAUAUCUCACAACAAUUGGUCUUUAUUUGCCUGGAGCAACAGAGGAAGGAGAGUUAGGAAUAGAAGGAAAUAGAGUAGAAAGUGUGGCUAAUUGCCUCCUUGAACAAUUUCCUCCUUUGCCACAAGACCAGAACUGGAUGGUGCCCAGCUACCAUUACUGAACGUUUUGAUUAAAAAAAAUCUAUAGAAGAAUCCUGAUCAGAAGAGGAAUAGUACGGAACAGAAUUUCUAAAUCUCGUGGAAUCCAGCAUUUCUGGAGCCGUGGAGGCUGGAUGAAGCCCAAAAUUAUUGCCCUGAGAUACUCUUUAAACCAAAAAUAUCCCCUGAAGUCUCCUUAAUACCAAAAAAUGGUUUAGCUUAACUGGUAAAGGAAUGUCUGCCUUGAGCUUUAUGCUCUUUUAAGAUCUGUCUAUAUGGGAUCAAAUCGACAGCAGCAACUUGAAGGAUUAGAUAGGAAACUUAGAGGGCAAUGAGUAUAUGUUAAUAGGGGAGGAACAACUCAGAAAAGGAGGGUGAGAAUGGGUGUACAACUUGAAGAAUGUAAGCAAUGCCACUGAACUGUAUGUGUAGAAACUGUUGAAUUGGUUUAUGUUCUGUGUAUACGACAAUAAAAAUUACAAAAAAUUAUUUUUUAAAUAUCCCAUGGCACCCCUGUGAGGUGACUACAGCAACUCAGGGCCUCCGUGGCACACAAUUUAGAAAUCAUGAGUAUGGAAUCAUUAAAGAAUCAUAGAACAGCAUUGUCCAAUAGAACUUUUUGAUGUGAUUUAGUACCUGUGGGUCAGAUACGGAAGCCACUGACCACAUCUGGUUGAGCUUUUGAAAUACGGCUAGUGUGGUUAAGGAAGAGAAUUUUAAAUCUACUUAGUUUUGGUUAAUUUAAAUUUAAAUAGCCACACGUGGCUAACAGAAACAUAUUGGAUAGUGCAGAUAUAGAAUAUCUUGGUGGGUUAGUGUCAUUAUGCUCUGCAGUCUCCACAGCCUUAUAAAGGCUUGAUAAAGACCAAAUGGUUACAGUGGCUUGCAGAACGAAGAGCUAGUAUUCCUACUGGCCUGAUUAUAUAAACAAUCAGAAUAUUGUAAACACACACAAAAUCAAACCUGGGCAUUACAUCCUAGAUUUUUCCCCUCCAUAGAGAUGAUUUUAUAAAGGUCCUAAUCUUCUGAUUUCUGAAAUGUAUAUCCGUUUGCUAAGAUCAGUUGUAAAUUAAUUGGUUGUUGUCAUUCUCAAUUAAGUAGUCAUGGGAAUCAAAGCAAGCGUUUGCUUUUUUAGCAAGUUACACUUUGCUCUCACCAGCAUUUCAAAGUGUCCCUUGACAUCAGUUUCGAAUACAGAAUCAAAAAAGUUUUGGAAAUGGCAUAUAGUCUAUCACCAACUAUUGGGAGAUCAAUGGUGCAGCCUAGGUAUGGGUGAUAAGGAACUGACAACGGUGUAUGACAGUGGUAAUAGAAAACUCACCUCCCAUUAUUCCAUAUUGACACCUGUUUGGGCCCAAAAGUGGAGCCUCCUUUCUUAAAACUCCAUGGACACUGCUGCCUCAGAGCCUCUGCCCAGCAAACUGUUCCCUUUGCUUGGACUGUCUUCACUUUCAGGCUUUACCUUUUCUAACAUCUAUCUUUCCCCCUGCAUCCUGUUUUAGUGGGAGCUGUGCUUCAGAAUCACCCGAGGAUCUUGUUAAAUAUACAGCACCCAUGCAUGCGUACACAGACCUAGAUCCUAAACCAGGUGGAAGUUAGGCAUCUUUGUGUUUAACUAGCCUCCGAGGAGGCGCCGAAGCUAAACCCUUCAGGAGUCUCAGGAAUUGUUGGAAUAGUUCAACUCCAUAAAAUGGAAGCUACUUACGGUAAUUACAUGAUUGCAUACUUCAUCUUGAAAGCGUCUACCUCUGUAAAUGCGCCUUGCCUGACAGGGGUGUGUGACCUUGUAUUUGAAAUUACUGGGGAAACCCACCAAAACCCACUGCCGUCGAGUCCAUUCUUAUAGAGACCGGCCCUGUAGGACAGAGUAGAACUGCCCCAUAGAGUUUCCAAGGAGCGCCUGAUGGAUUUGAACUGCUUUCCUCUUGGUUAGUAUACCCGAAACCCAACCCGUCAGUCAAUUCUGACCCAUUGCCACUCUUGUAGGACAGAGUAGGACUGCCCCAUAGGGCUUUCAAGGCUGUAAGUCUUUACAGUAGCAGACUGCUUCUCUACUUCUGGGUAGUAGGAGUGUGCAGAGAUCAAUAGACAAGCACUGAAUGACUUAAAAAACUGAAAGCAGCCGCCCAACGUGGGGCUCGAACCCACGACCCUGAGAUUAAGAGUCUCAUGCUCUACCGACUGAGCUAGCCGGGCAGUUAUGCAUGUUGGAUUCCCUAAUAAUUAUAAGAAGAUAUGUUAGCUUUUUUUUUUUUUCCUCCCUAGGGCAAGGACUAUUGCUAGGAUUCUAAAUGUAAUCAAAUGGUAUAUUUUUGUAUCAUAGGUAAGAUUACAUGAAGCCUAAAGAAUGUAAGCAUUAUCUUGAAUGAUUAACUUACACUCCACCUACUUUUUCUACAUCUUCCUUCAUUCUCCCAAGCCUGUCUUGACAGACCUCGAAAUGUUUCCAGGAACCAAGAAUUGGAGCCUCUGGAUGUUACAGUGACCCCCAACUCUGGCACUCCCAGACCUCCAGGCCUGGUUGCCUACGAGACCCAAAAGGCCCAGACACAAUCCUGUGCUCUCUCUCUAGCCCAUACAGGAGUUCCUCUCCUGUCCUCAAUACCAGUCAGUUUUUUUUGCCACGGUGCCACGUCGAUGUAAAAAAAAUAUGUAUUUGUAUAUAUAUAUAUUUUCAAUGUGGCCCUGAAAAAAUCUCUGAGGUUUUCUCCCUCCUUUUCACACCUCGUAUUGUUCAUUUGUCGCCCUCUCUGCAGUGACAGCUUACAUACGCAGAAAAGACGGGGGAGGGUGUCGCGAUUAUAUUUUAAUAGAAAGUAUCUGACAACCGCUAAAAUAUAGGAUCCAGUGAUUUUUACAUGUUUUGUUUACCGCUGACCGCAAAAGCGCGUUGACCACAAUUAGGUAAAUAUUUGCUUAAUGAGUACACCGACGGUACGCUCUAGGAGGGAAAAAAAUGCCCGUCUUCUCAAGAAGGGAACAGGAAACCCUGAUUCCAUGCAACUGGGGAAUACUCAAAGCUAUGCUAACAAGAAAAGCCGCAGAGGGAAGUUGAAAAACCCAUAUAAAUAUUUUCCAAGGCCAGACUCCAUAGUUCAGUGUUUUGAUUUUUCCAUUGAAAUCGAUUUCUCUGAUGUGAGCAAUGAAUGAUGGAUGACCUUGAAUAGAGAUGGGACCAUUGUUCUACACAUUUCCUGGUCACAAUCGCGGAGUCGGAACUUCUGGCAGAACCGGAAAUAUUUGCCUUUGAAGUUACUUGAGAGCCGAAUGAAAACGCAAGAAAAGCCAAAAUUGUAAAAGAGUACCUGUUCUUUUUUGAUUAGAAAAGUUACCAGUUCAUUUAUAGAGAUCACAAGCAUAUUCUGUCCACACAUUUGUACUCGAUGCCAUAAUUCAGGUCUUGUAAUUCAAUUUGUGAGAGGCCAGAAAUGAAAAAUGGGCUCGUCCGGGAUUUGAA